rnacentral:misc_RNA from 1 species
GAUGAAGAACGUAGCGAAAUGCGAUACUUGGUGUGAAUUGCAGAAUCCCGUGAACCAUCGAGUCUUUGAACGCAAGUUGCGCCCGAAGCCAUUAGGCCGAGGGCACGCCUGCCUGGGCGUCACACGUCGUUGCCCCCCCCAUCUACUCCUUCGGGAUUGCGGGGGGCGGAUGAUGGCCUCCCGUGCGCCUCGUCGCGCGGUUGGCAUAAAUGCCAAGUCCUCGGCGACGCACGCCACGACAAUCGGUGGUUGCGAAACCUCGGUUGCCCGUCGUGUGCGGUCGUCGCGCAUCGAGGGCUCGAAAAAAUUGCCGGGUUCCGGCUCGGCUUUCAACGCGACCCCAGGUCAGGCGGGGUUACCCGCUGAAUUUAAGCAUAUCAAUAAGCGGAGGA